GAUGAAGAACGCAGCGAACUGCGAUAAGUAAUGUGAAUUGCAGAAUUCAGUGAAUCAUCGAGUCUUUGAACGCACAUUGCGCCCCCUGGCAUUCCGGGGGGCAUGCCUGUCCGAGCGUCAUUGCUGCCCUUCAAGCCCGGCUUGUGUGUUGGGUCGUCGUCCCCCCCGGGGGACGGGCCCGAAAGGCAGCGGCGGCACCGCGUCCGGUCCUCGAGCGUAUGGGGCUUUGUCACCCGCUCGAUUAGGGCCGGCCGGGCGCCAGCCGGCGUCUCCAACCUUCUAUUUUACCAGGUUGACCUCGGAUCAGGUAGGGAUACCCGCUGAACUUAAGCAUAUCAAUAGCGGAGA
rnacentral:misc_RNA from 1 species